ACAGUACAAACUGAGCAGGCCGGGUAUUAUACCUGUGAAGCCGGGUCGACUAAGCGACAGUAGAUGACAUCUACGGGACAGU
rnacentral:ncRNA from 1 species